GGUUGUAGAGCUGCUCGGUGUAGGAGCUGCUUAGUCUUGUGGAGCUGCGUGUCGAAGUGGAGUCGUGUCAAAGUGGACUCGGGUGGACGAGUUUGGACAGAGUUCGGAUCAGAGAGCGGAACGGAGAGCGGACAGACCAAUCACACCAGAAAUACGCACAGUACUCCCGACCAUCAAUCAAUCAAUCAACAGCUGCAACGCAUCAUCGGAACCAGAUCAACUCAGCCCCACCCGACCGUCCUCUCCAAUUCUAACACUUCCCCCGCCGACUGCAUUGUAAACUGACAAGAGCGGAGCCCUUUGCGCCACAUUGUUAUUGUAUAUAUGAUGUAUUUCUACAUUGCUUUUCUCACCCCAACAACUCUACACAAUCUACAAGCACACUAUCAAUAAAUGUUAAUCUUACUGUGUCUCCAUUGGGGGGGAUGUGUGUCAGUCUGGGUAUAUAUAUAAUAAAAGUCUCUGCCUUUCAGUCAGCAUCUACCUGGA